CCUACCUGAAUUCAAAGCUGCUUCUCCUGGCAGGACUCUGUGUUUUGCUGUUGUUGACAGAAACUGAGGGGCCUGUGUGGGUGGGUGGGGGUUGUCUUUCCCUUGGUCAGCAGAGGGGCCUCUCUAAAGGCCUCUGCACUGCAGAUCCUGGAGUCCGCCCUGCGGACAGAGCUGCCUGCAGCCGCUGGCUAUGCCGGCCUUGGUCUCCCUUCUGAGGGGCGUGCGGGGGGCAGCCUCGGGGGAAAAGCCCGUGCCGCCUCAGGGCUGCGUCCAGCUCGCACCACCCAGAGCUCAGGGAGGCCACUGCCCCAGCACCCAGCACCCUCAGCCUGGCAGCUGGCUGUGCAGACGGCCUGCCUGCUGCAGGUGGUUCCCCGGAGGGUCGCCCGGUGAACUGGACUCCUGGGCAUCCCGAGAGUCAGAUGCUCAGCCGGAAAGGAGUCCUGAGUCUCCAACAGAGCCAUGCGAACAUGACGGCCGAGCAAGUGGGGCCAGCAGAUGGGGGGUGCCUGGUGGGGAAGCCUGAUUGGAGCCCUGCCACACCUCCAAGAGCAGCUGCAAAGCCAUUAGAUGAGUGGAUAAAGAAGAUGUGGGCAAAGAAUGGAUAAAGAAGAUAUAUGCAAUGGACACUACUCAACCAUUGAAUGAAAUCUUGCCAUUUGUGACAAGAUAGAAGGACCUAAAGGGUAUCACGCUAA